rnacentral:lncRNA from 1 species
AUUUUUUGUUUUUCUUGGAGUUAAUUAUUGCCUUGCUUUUUUGCUUGCAAAGGUUUUUAUUUACCUUAACCUUUUUUUGGUUGUUCUCUCAGAUCUGUCACUACCAGUAGUGUUCUCUAAAUAAUUAAAUAGAUUAUAGACUUAUUCAGUCUAUUUCAACCCCCCAACCCUCCUGUCCCUGGAGAUUUCCCUCUCACUGCUUUCUUUUUUUUUUUUUUUUUGCUUUCUCCUCCUGUUUCUGUGUGGGCUGGCUGUUCUCUGGUUCUGCUACUCAAUUAUUUUUCUAGGACUUCCCUACAUCUCUUUCCUGCUGUCUGAAAUCCUGCUUCCUGGAGCAUAUGGCCUCUUGGUUUUCUCCUUUAUUUUAACAGAACUCAUUCUUACUAGCUAAGUCUUUGCAUGUUUAAAAAGGUCUCUGUUGG